rnacentral:tRNA from 1 species
GGAUUGUGGCUCAGCGGUAGAGUGCUCCCUUAGCAUGGGUGGGACCCGGGUUCGAUUCUCAGCACCA